ensembl:lncRNA
ACACACACACACGAAUAGGUGGAAGGCAUUCAGAGAAAAGUUCAGUAAAGUCUGAAGGAUCCUUUUCAGUUCAAGAUGAAAAUGUGGUGCUAGACACUGAAAGACUACAGGUGAAAAGAAUGAGAAAAAGAUAGAAGACUUAUGACUAAAUAAAGGUUAGGUAAUGGUUUUCAUUCUAGAACCCACCCAGCCCUCGACAAUACUACGUGAUUAACAAGUUUUGUUGAGGAAACAGCAUGAUCCUCAGUGUUUCUCACGGAUUCCUAAAUGAUGACUUUCUCCACUUCACGUAGAUCAAACAGCUUGUGGCAGCAGGUCACCAUAGCCACCAGGACUGGCCCGAGAGAAGUUGACAAUGGCAUGGGCAUGGUCGAUUUAAAUACUGACCUUUGUGUGCUAAAGUGUGAAGAGACUUUUAAUGCCAACACAACUCAUACAAGGUUGACAGAGAUGACAAUUCUGCCAAAUAGUUGAGUGUGCACUUGAUAUACAGGGUAUCACACAGAAAUCUGAAGGGACCACAAAUGCACAGCUGUACGAAUCUCCACUGUGUUGUAAAGAAAUGACCUAAAUUCUAUCCUUUUUAUUGGUCGACACUUUUCGAAAUACAUUAUGUGCAUAUGUUUUCACGGCAUACGCCUUGUUUUUUUCCCUCGCCAUGUGUUUUUACUUAUGGAGUAGACCAGACCAGAGCCCAUACCUUGGCAGGAAACAAGAGCACAAACAAUUGUAUCUGAGCCAGCUAUUUGGCUGUGCUCCCUGGUAAUGCUGAUUUUCAGUUCUGUUCAUGCGCAUAAUUCCAGUCACCCAGUCUGUUAUUCCACAAGUAGUCUUUUGUCUCCGUGUUACCCAGAAUGCCACACUUCAAAAGGAGGUGGCAAAUUCUUCUCCUUCCCCUGAGAUGCAUUAAGAUGAAUGUUCAUUAAGGUGAAGGUUCAUUAAGGUGAAUGUUCAUUAAGGUGAAUGUUCAUUAAGGUGAAUGUUCAUUAAGGUGAAUGUUCAUUAAGAUGAAUGUUCAUUAAGAUGAAUGUUCAUUAAGGUGAAUGUUCAUUAAGGUGAUCCCUAACUCUAGAUGCUUUAAGGUGAAGGUCUUCCCCUCUGGUUGGGGUUGCUGAUCUCAUAGCAUCAGUCUGCUUUAUCUGAACAAUACGGUCCCUUCAUAUCUGUACCAGCAACAUUGGUAGCACUAUGGUGCCAAGCGUGACCAUGUUCGCUGUGCUGUCCAAGCCCUCUGUGCUGUAUCUGGCAUGGCGCCACUGAGAGGGAGAAAUGAGAGGGAGAUUGGGUCUCAUCCAGCUAGGGUGCCUGGCACACUGCCUAGGAGCAACUGCUUGAUUGCCCUCUCCUCUACAGGUAUAUAGAUAACUCAUCUGGAAGGGGAAGGGAGUCGUCACCCGAGUCACAGCCAGGGUUUCCGAAAAAGAGGCCUCAAGACGGGUAGCUGACACGUUAGAAAAUAUGCAUCAGAAUGCAUUCAGAAAGAAACAGGAUAGUUUCACUAAAAACCGUCAAGUCAAGCUAUGAGUACAAUAAAAUCAAGCACACACACGUAUAAGAUCAUGACUAUACCCGACACAGGUCAGUAUCUCAGUCUCUACAGCUCACUCAUUGUAGCUAUGUAUAGCCCAGUUUGUGUCAUGUUUUCUUUCUUGACUCUCCUCUAUGCUCUGUCCAUUUCUCUCUCUCUCUCUCUCUGGUGAGCACAUGCAGGGCAGUAAAUCAGUGUGGAGCGAGGCUGGUAGGGUUCAGGCUCAGGUUGCCUCUAUUUAACGAGCGCUAGUUGCCUUGAUCACUCAAACCAACCCCAGGUGACGGAUGUCUUAUAUUUGAUGACACCAUUCCGCUCCAGACACAGACUGUUACGGUUACGGUAAGUGAUGUCACCUGAAACAGUGAAUCCUUCUUCACCACGGAGACGAGUUUAUGGGUGGCGGGGGUCAGAGUGUUAGGUUUCAAGCAGAUUCUACAUCCAUGGUGGAAAUACUAAGAAGGUCAUGAGAACGUUCACACGCUGGAAAGAUGAUCAUCAUCAUCAAAUAAGCAAGUUCACAGUGAUGUCCGCCAGUAAGUAGAAAAGCGCUACAAAUGUCUAUAUGCGUGAUUACCAACAAAUCAUUUCAGUUUCAGAAAUGAAAAGACCCUAAUGACUUCACUACAUGGCACCUGAAAUAUAAAACUCUAUUCACCAAUCAGAAGAGAUGAUGGUGCACUUACACACACGUUUAUUCACUUUGAUCUGAAGCCACCUAUAGUAUGGUAAACAGUAUCACACAUUUUCAUCAGUAUGAGUAUGAAGUGGCCAGCCUUACCAGGGAUCUUCAGAUUGAGAUCACACACACUGCCCACACUAGCAACAGAGGCAGCCUUCUGCCGGCGGGAGAUGCUCUCGCGGAUACGGCCCUCUCCGGUGACCUUCACUGAGAAGGGACUGCCUGUGGACACACACACCAAAGCAGAGCACACACAUCGGUGCAUCAGUCAGCGCUGCUUCCACUCAAAGUGUACUAAUGUCUUUACAUUAUUUGCUCUGUACCAUCGUGGAGUAUACUGAAACCACAUUUCAUUGAAACGGUGCAACCAUCAGCAAUGUGGACCAUAUUUUACAUUUAGCAGACGCUUUUAUCCAAAGCGACUUACAAGGAUGUAUACACAUUUUUUACAUUUACACUGAUGGCACACUGCACAUCAGGAGCAAUUAGGGGUUCAGUGUCUUGCUCAAGGACGCUUCGACAGGGAAUCGAACUAGCA